rnacentral:rRNA from 1 species
AACAGGUUAAGCUGACGAGUGGCGAACGGGUGAGUAAUGUAUCGGAACGUGCCCAGUCGUGGGGGAUAACUGCUCGAAAGAGCAGCUAAUACCGCAUACGACCUGAGGGUGAAAGCGGGGGAUCGCAAGACCUCGCGCGAUUGGAGCGGCCGAUAUCAGAUUAGGUAGUUGGUGAGGUAAAGGCUCACCAAGCCGACGAUCUGUAGCUGGUCUGAGAGGACGACCAGCCACACUGGGACUGAGACACGGCCCAGACUCCUACGGGAGGCAGCAGUGGGGAAUUUUGGACAAUGGGCGCAAGCCUGAUCCAGCCAUGCCGCGUGCGGGAAGAAGGCCUUCGGGUUGUAAACCGCUUUUGUCAGGGAAGAAAAGGUUCUGGCUAAUACCUGGGACUCAUGACGGUACCUGAAGAAUAAGCACCGGCUAACUACGUGCCAGCAGCCGCGGUAAUACGUAGGGUGCAAGCGUUAAUCGGAAUUACUGGGCGUAAAGCGUGCGCAGGCGGUUAUGCAAGACAGAGGUGAAAUCCCCGGGCUCAACCUGGGAACUGCCUUUGUGACUGCAUGGCUAGAGUACGGUAGAGGGGGAUGGUAUUCCGCGUGUAGCAGUGAAAUGCGUA